rnacentral:rRNA from 1 species
AACGUCGUAGCCUUCGAGGGUUCUGCACAGGUGCUGCAUGGUUGUCGUCAGCUCGUGUCGUGAGAUGUUGGGUUAAGUCCCGCAACGAGCGCAACCCCUGCCGGUAGUUACCAGUGUCUACCGGGACAGCCGCCUUGAUGGGCGGAGGAAGGCGGGGAUGACGUCAAAUCAGCAUGGCCCUUACGCCUGGGGCGACACACACNCUACAAUGGCCGGGACAGUGCGUCGCGAACCCGCACGGGGAAGCAAAUCGUCCAAACCCGGUCCCAGUGCA